CGCGGCCUAUCAGCUUGUUGGCGGGGUAAUGGCCCACCAAGGCGACGACGGGUAGCCGGCCUGAGAGGGCGACCGGCCACACUGGGACUGAGACACGGCCCAGACUCCUACGGGAGGCAGCAGUGGGGAAUAUUGCGCAAUGGGCGGAAGCCUGACGCAGCGACGCCGCGUGAGGGAUGAAGGCCUUCGGGUCGUAAACCUCUUUCAGCAGGGAAGAAGCGCAAGUGACGGUACCUGCAGAAGAAGCACCGGCUAACUACGUGCCAGCAGCCGCGGUAAUACGUAGGGUGCAAGCGUUGUCCGGAAUUAUUGGGCGUAAAGAGCUCGUAGGCGGUCUGUCGCGUCUGCUGUGAAAACUCAGGGCUUAACCCUGAGCUUGCAGUGGGUACGGGCAGACUAGAGUGCGGUAGGGGAGACUGGAAUUCCUGGUGUAGCGGUGAAAUGCGCAGAUAUCAGGAGGAACACCGGUGGCGAAGGCGGGUCUCUGGGCCGUAACUGACGCUGAGGAGCGAAAGCAUGGGGAGCGAACAGGAUUAGAUACCCUGGUAGUCCAUGCCGUAAACGUUGGGCGCUAGGUGUGGGGCUCUUUCCAUGAGUUCCGUGCCGCAGCUAACGCAUUAAGCGCCCCGCCUGGGGAGUACGG
rnacentral:rRNA from 1 species